GUGCUCAAUUCGGCAGCACAUGUACUAACAUCAGAACGAUAUGAAGAAGGUUAGCACGGCCCCUGCACAAGGAUGACAGGCAAAUUCCUGAAGCGUGCGGCAUUUUU
ensembl:snRNA U6 U6 spliceosomal RNA